rnacentral:rRNA from 1 species
CCCUUAGAUGUUCGGGGCCGCACGCGCGCUACACUGAAGGAAUCAGCACGUCUUUCUCCUUGUCCGAAAGGACUGGGUAACCCGCUGAACCUCCUUCGUGCUAGGGAUUGGGGCUUGUAAUUCUUCCCCAUGAACGAAGAAUUCCCAGUAAGCGCGAGUCAUAAGCUCGCGUUGAUUACGUCCCUGCCCUUUGUACACACCGCCCGUCGCUACUACCGAUUGGAUGGUUUAGUGAGAUCCUCGGAUUGGUCCCGGCGCGGCCUCUGGUCGUGCCGGAGUGCCGAAAAGAAUGUCGAACUUGAUCAUCUAGAGGAAGUAAAAGUCGUAACA